AUUGAACGCUGGCGGAAUGCUUUACACAUGCAAGUCGGGCGGCAGCACGGGGGCAACCCUGGUGGCGAGCGGCGAACGGGUGAGUAAUACAUCGGAACGUACCCUGUCGUGGGGGAUAACGAAUCGAAAGAUUCGCUAAUACCGCAUACGACCUGAGGGUGAAAGCGGGGGAUCGCAAGACCUUGCGCUGAUUGAGCGGCCGAUAUCAGAUUAGCUAGUUGGUGAGGUAAAGGCUCACCAAGGCGACGAUCUGUAGCGGGUCUGAGAGGAUGAUCCGCCACACUGGAACUGAGACACGGUCCAGACUCCUACGGGAGGCAGCAGUGGGGAAUUUUGGACAAUGGGCGCAAGCCUGAUCCAGCCAUGCCGCGUGAAGGAUGAAGUAUUUCGGUAUGUAAACUUCGAAAGAAUGGGAAGAAUAAAUGACGGUACUAUUUAUAAGGUCCGGCUAACUACGUGCCAGCAGCCGCGGUAAGUCUCGCGUGA
rnacentral:rRNA from 1 species